rnacentral:rRNA from 1 species
UACAGAGGUCUCAACCGUUGUUCGGAUUCAUUGGGCGUAAAGGGUGCGUAGGCGGUCGCGCAAGUCGGAUGUGAAAUCUCAGGGCUCAACCCUGAAACUGCAUUCGAUACUGCGUGGCUAGAGUGCUGGAGAGGAGACUGGAAUUUACGGUGUAGCAGUGAAAUGCGUAGAGAUCGUAAGGAAGACCAGUGGCGAAGGCGGGUCUCUGGACAGUUCCUGACACUGAGGCACGAAGGCCAGGGGAGCAAACGGG